AAAUUCUCCAACGUGGUAUCUAAUGGCUUAAUCAAUAACGUAUUGUCAUUCAAUACCACAUCACCACUAGCCUGAACAUCUCCAACAUCUAACGGAAUAUCCAGAUGUAGAGAACCAUUAACCAUACCGCCAAUCUGUAGCGCAUCCAGUGCCGAACCCAAUGAGGACUUCAUCGGCGUCUGGUUGAAGUAAUGCCUCACUUCUUCCCCUGGCCCAUGAAGAUCGCCAUUAACCAGUAAUUGCUCUUUAGCGUAAUCGGGAAUAAUAGCGCUGAUAUUCGUCCCUUCUACCUUGCCCAACCAGGCAUGCGGCGCGGACAUCCAUAGGCCAUUAUUGAGAAAGUUCAGCGUAAUAUCCUGUUCGGUAAGCGCAGGCCAGCCCGGUUGAAAUUCGAAGAUGGCGUUUUUUACCGGAACC
rnacentral:ncRNA from 1 species